rnacentral:rRNA from 1 species
UAGGGAAUAUUAGAAAUGGACGAAAGUCUGAUCUAGCAACACCGCGUGUGCGAAGAAGGCCUUCGGGUUGUAAAGCACUUUUUGGAAGGAUUAGGAAGGAAUGUACUUCCAGAAUAAGUCUCGGCUAACUACGUGCCAGCAGCCGCGGUAACACGUAGGAGGCAAACGUUAUCCGGAUUUACUGGGCGUAAAGCGCGUGUAGGUGGUUCUGUAAGUAGGGCGUGAAAGCUCCUGGCUCAACUGGGAGAGGCCGUUCUAAACUGCAGUGCUAGAGGAUGGUAGAGGGAGGUGGAAUUCCGGUGGUAGCGGUGGAAUGCGCAGAUAUCCGGAGGAACACCAGUGGCGAAAGCGUCCUCCUGGACCAUUCCUGACACUCAGACGCGAAAGCUAGGGUAGCAAACG